GCGGAGGGUGAGAAGGCAAUUUUAUGUAUAUAUAUAAAAAUUCCCUGGUAUUUCUCCGGUUUCUCGGAACUUGUGGAACUUUGUAAAGUGUGUCCUUUGAAGAACGCCGUACUUGGCGUUCGCUACUGUGUGCUGGCAGUACAACGGUCAGUAUUUGCUCUGAAUUCUAAAGGUGAAGCCGCUGCGCUAUCGGGUGGUCCGAAUAAACGGUCCCAACCACGAUUUCAACCGCCGUGUGUGUCAGAUUCCUGUCUCGUUUCCUUUCGACAAAAACCCUUAAGAACACACAACGCAGAGCCCAGUUAACAGCGAGGACUCAUCUCGCACGGACAGGGACCCGGAUCGUUGUGCUUCAGGAUCACCUAGGCAACAACGCCAGCAGCCCCGUUACUCAACGGCUUCGUUCUGGUAGUUUCCUCAGUGUAUGACAAUCUGAGUUAACGUGUGGAGCUGAAGCUGCAACUUAUUAUUUUAGUGUCACUUUUAAUGUGAAGAAAAAAAAGAAAAAAAAGUUUGUGAACUACAUUUUGUUUGAAAUAUUUAUUACAUUGUGAUUAUAUCCUUCUUUUGUGUGUGUAAUUAUAAUUUUGGGAGUGCGUUAAGAUAACUUUAAGAUCUGUAAAGUGUUGCAUAAAGUUGAUUUCUGACAUUGCAUCAUGUAUCACAAUUUUAGGUGUGAUGGAAUUAGGAUUAUAACUUUAUAUUGAGUUAUUUAAACAGCUUUACUGUAUGCAUAAAUUGCACUGUUAUAUUUUCUUAUUGUAUUACUGUAGAGCUAUUCAAACUUCAUGUUAAAUUGUUGUCUGGCAAGGAGAAAGCAAAACAUGAUAAAAAUUGCUGAUAUGUCUCAGUGCAUUAAAAAAAACAAAAAACAAAUGUGAAAAUAUUACAGAAACUGACAUUUCUUUUUCUCUGAGUUUCUGCUACAUUUAGAGCCCAAAGGGUAACCAGCAUGUUGCAAGAAGAGUGUCUCUAACAUUGAGACUUAAGGCCAUGAGAUUCUAUAAACAGAGAAACAAUGAUUUUAAAAAUGACAAUAAACGAUUUGAGAAAGA